UACAGAGGUCCCAAGCGUUGUUCGGAUUCACUGGGCGUAAAGGGCGCGUAGGCGGCCCGAUAAGUAGGGGGUGAAAUCCUGCGGCUUAACCGCAGGGCUGCCUUCUAAACUGUCGGGCUAGAGCACGGUAGAGGUAGAUGGAAUUCCCGGUGUAGCGGUGGAAUGCGUAGAGAUCGGGAAGAACAUCAGUGGCGAAGGCGGCUCACUGGACCGGUACUGACGCUGAUGCGCGAAAGCGUGGGGAGCAACAGG
rnacentral:rRNA from 1 species